rnacentral:tRNA from 1 species
ACCUAGCUGGCUUAGUCAGAAAAGCAUGUGACUCUUGAUCUUGGGGUUGUAAGUUCAAGCCUCACAUUGGGUG